CAGAUUGAGUAGCUGUUUCAAUUCCGCCCAGCAUUUCAUGAAGAACAGGAAUUGCGAGACCAGAUUCCAUGUUGGCGGGUUAACUAAAGCCCGCUCCAUGGAUAAUGUGGCUAACUUCAGUGGGAUCCAAAACAUGGACAACUGGAAAGAGGGCCGUACCUCUGAUGCGUUCCAGCGCCAGAGGAUCCAUUUGAGCCCAGCACAUCUCUGUGGACCAGACCCAGAUCCAGAUCCCCCUCCGGAUCCGGAUCCGUUUUUUCCUUUCAGAUGUUAAACUCACAGGUGAGAAACUCAGAUGGCUGAAGUUGGUGCAAAACCGGGACCAUGUUAA